AAAUGCAGACAUCCACAGCCAAGCAUUGGACUGAGGUGGAAGUAGUACCUGGGAAGAGCAGGCUAGACCAAAUAUGAUUCAGGAGAGUCUUGAAGGUAUCACUGGUGGCAUGGUGCCCGACAAGAUGGAAUAGAAGCAGACGGCAAGAAAGG